rnacentral:lncRNA from 1 species
GUGCAUGGUGGUCACGGAGUGUCGUUGUAAAUCGGUGAAGCCCAUAUUGUCGAUACCCCUCAGCUCUAUAAGACGCAUUGACCUUUCGAUCAGUUCUUUGACAACCCUCCAGUCAUCAAAUGACGCAUAUUCAAGAAUAAAAGUAAGGUGGAUGUCAGGAUUUGAUUGGUCAGUAGAAGGAGAUAUGCUGCUUGGGCCUGCAGCUGAAGGAGGCUGACACCUAGCCCCACG